AUUGAACGCUGGCGGCAGGCCUAACACAUGCAAGUCGAGCGGAUGAAGGGAGCUUGCUCCUGGAUUCAGCGGCGGACGGGUGAGUAAUGCCUAGGAAUCUGCCUGGUAGUGGGGGAUAACGUCCGGAAACGGGCGCUAAUACCGCAUACGUCCUGAGGGAGAAAGUGGGGGAUCUUCGGACCUCACGCUAUCAGAUGAGCCUAGGUCGGAUUAGCUAGUUGGUGGGGUAAAGGCCUACCAAGGCGACGAUCCGUAACUGGUCUGAGAGGAUGAUCAGUCACAUUGGAACUGAGACACGGUCCAGAGUCCUACGGGAGGGAGCAGUGGGGUAUGUUAGGCAAUGGGCGAAAGUCUGGUCCAGUGAGGCCGAGUGUGUUAAGAAGAUCUUGGGAGUGGGAAGCACGUUAAGUUGUUAGGAAGCGCUUUAAGUUAAUACGUUGCUGGAUUGACGUUACCGACAGAAGAAGCACCGGCUAACUUCGUG
rnacentral:rRNA from 1 species